GACGAACGCUGGCGGCGUGCCUAAUACAUGCAAGUCGAGCGCGGGAAGCGAGCGGAUCCCCUUCGGGGGUGAUGCUCGUGGAACGAGCGGCGGACGGGUGAGUAACACGUGGGCAACCUGCCUGUAAGACCGGAAUAACCCCGGGAAACCGGGGCUAAUGCCGGGUAACACUUUCUUCCGCAUGGAGGAGAGUUGAAAGAUGGCUUCUAGCUAUCACUUACAGAUGGGCCCGCGGCGCAUUAGCUAGUUGGUGAGGUAACGGCUCACCAAGGCGACGAUGCGUAGCCGACCUGAGAGGGUGAUCGGCCACACUGGGACUGAGACACGGCCCAGACUCCUACGGGAGGCAGCAGUAGGGAAUCUUCCGCAAUGGACGAAAGUCUGACGGAGCAACGCCGCGUGAACGAUGAAGGUCUUCGGAUCGUAAAGUUCUGUUGUUAGGGAAGAACAAGUACCGUGCGAAUAGAGCGGUACCUUGACGGUACCUAACGAGGAAGCCCCGGCUAACUACGUGCCAGCAGCCGCAGUAAAAC
rnacentral:rRNA from 1 species